AAUGUGGUAUAUACAUGCAAUAAAACACUAUUCAGCCUACAGAGAAGAUUAGUAUGGCCCCUAACAAGGAUAACACACAUUCAUGAAGCAUUCCAUAUUUUU
ensembl:snRNA U6 U6 spliceosomal RNA